UACGUAGGGGGCAAGCGUUGUCCGGAUUUAUUGGGCGUAAAGCGCGCGUAGGCGGCGCGGUAUGUCGUGCGUGAAAUCUCCCGGCUUAACUGGGAGGGGCCGUGCGAAACUGCCGGGCUUGAGGUCGGAAGGGGAAAGUGGAAUUCCGGGUGUAGUGGUGGAAUACGUAGAUAUCCGGAGGAACACCAGCGGCGAAGGCGGCUUGCUGGGCGUAGUCUGACGCUGAGGCGCGAAAGCGUGGGGAGCGAACAGG
rnacentral:rRNA from 1 species